GGUUGUAGCUCAGUGGUGGAGCGCUUGCCUAGCAUGCAUGAGGCACUGGGUUCGAUCCCCCGGCACCA
rnacentral:tRNA from 1 species